UACGAAGGGGGCUAGCGUUGCUCGGAAUCACUGGGCGUAAAGGGUGCGUAGGCGGGUCUUUAAGUCAGGGGUGAAAUCCUGGAGCUCAACUCCAGAACUGCCUUUGAUACUGAAGAUCUUGAGUUCGGGAGAGGUGAGUGGAACUGCGAGUGUAGAGGUGAAAUUCGUAGAUAUUCGCAAGAACACCAGUGGCGAAGGCGGCUCACUGGCCCGAUACUAACGCUGAGGCACGAAAGCGUGGGGAGCAAACAGG
rnacentral:rRNA from 1 species